CAGUGAAUUUAGAAACAAAAUCUCAACAUCCUAAUUCUGGUUCAUCCAUUUACUAGCUCUAUUAGUACUUGGCCUCUCUCAGCCUCAGUUUUCUAAUCUGAGAAAACAAGGCUGGUAAUGCCUGUUACUUCAACAUUGUCUUUAGAUGGAACAACUUUGUGAACUUUGUUACCUAUCAAAUAUUCAGGUACAAGAUGUAAUUAUGAUUAAAAACAUUUCUGGAUCAACUUCCCCUUUAAGUUUCCUGAAAAUUGAAGUCAAUAUUCACUGCAGCUCUCAGAACUUUCAGAACCAAGAAACUUGUAACUGUCACUUAUUCUGAAACCCAGCUGCAUUUCUCCCCAGUGUGUAAGCACGUCACUCUGCUUUUUCUGCAGAAGGUCCCAGCCAUGGAUGCCCUGACUCAUCGCAGGUUUAGAUGAACAAGUCUCUUCUUACCUUGGACUCAGGGUGGCUUCAUGGAAAGCCAGACUACUUUGAAGAUAUUCAUUGAUUAAUCCAUUCAUUCAACACCUUCAAUAAACAGUAGGAUGCCAUGCACUAGGAGAAAAAAAAAGGAUAAGAAGUCCACCCUUCCCUCAAAGAUGUCUCUGUCAGUGGAGGAGUUUUAUAUACCUCCAAAGAGCAUCACAUACCUAUUACAACUUUAUGAGCAUUCAUGCAAUGAAUUGCAUCACUUGGUCUUACUCACCCAGAAGAGAGCAGAUGUCAGAGAUACAGAAGUCACUGUCCUAUUCAAGAGUCUCUCUUUAGCUUUCUAAAAUGUUCUAAAGAUGGAAAAUAUCAAUGAGCAGUGAUUGAGUUCAUCAAGAUUAUCACAUCAGCUGUAGGUCAAUAACUGUGGACCAUCUCAGACUGUUGUACCCGCCAUAGCACCAUGGAGAGGAUUCAGCUGUCAGUGGACCACACACAACCAAAUGCAACAACAAUUUAACUUUGGCAAUAACUUAUUAAGUUAAGAACACUAUUUUAGAAGAUUGUUUAUCAAAAUAUAUUUUUAGGCCUUAGAAAAUGUCCACGAAGGAUUGUUAAGUCCACUUGUACAGAACAUUGCCAUGUCACAAAAUGUUUUAAGUUCUCAAGAAUUGCCUAUGAGUCAUUCCUAACAUUAAUCCAAAGUUGAACAAGUGGUAUGUUAUUUUGGCUUGAUUGUUUAGUUGUAAUCUUAUUGUUUAUUUCAGAGCUUUGGAAUAUGAAAAAUGGAGCCCAACUACUGGCAUAGAGAGAAGCAGUGUAUCAUGGAAGGGGGAGAAUAGAGGCAUUUCAUGCAUGUCCUUCCUUCUUCGAGGAUGCAUUGCUUCCUGCUAAGAAAUGGGUACAGAUACUUAAGGCAUCCAUUUCAAUCAGAAAACUGUAGGAAAAAUGAAUCAGAAUCAGAGUAGAAGAAUACUAGACUUAAGAGACCAGAGACUUGGGGUCCAGUUUUGAUCCUGCCACUUAUCAACUACUUUGGCAAGUCACUUUCUUAAUCUCAGUUUGCUCUUCUGUUAAAAUAAUGAUUUCAUAGGUUAUUUCAAAGAUAUCUUCCAGUUCUCUGAUUCUAUCAUGGUCCAAAAUACAUGACUUUUCUCUCUUUUCCGAUUUUUCGGAGAACUCAGCUAUCUUACUUUUAUGCUACUUGUUUACCAGUUUUGUUUUUGUUAAAUUUUUUUCCAAGCAGUCCAAUUUAUUCUAGGCACCACAGGACUCCUACCAAAGUGUCAGGAAAGAGGUUAGAUGGUGCUCAUGAUGAUAAAGGCAAGCUCCCCUCUAGUGAAUGGCAAAAAUCUUGACUUUGAACCUUCUGUUCCAAAUUCUGGCCUUUUUCCUAUACCUGCUGCAGGUAUUCUAUUGCAUUCUGGUUCUAGGAAAAAGAAACCUGAUCAAUAACUGGUUACCUUUUCAUUAACAAAAGACUGUCUUUCACCAUAUUCUGUGACCAAAGCAAUAUGCCAGAUAUUACUGGCAUGAUACAAAAAGUUAAAACUUUGUCUCUGUUACUGAGGUCUUUAUAUUCUGGCUAGAGUGGAAAGGCUUGUGUGAAGAAGAAUUAGAUGAUAACAUAGACAGGAAGAUAGUACAAGUGUUAAAUCAUGUUGUAAUAAAAAUAAACGCAUAGAGCAAAAGAAUUUGGGUAAUGCUUCAUGGGGUAAAUGAAUGCUAACCUU